GGUGAGGUUUUCCUUCUAGUCAUUUUGCUCAGUGCAGAGUGGCGAAAAACAAGUUGUAUUGGGAAAAGGAGAAAAAGAGAGGAGAGAAAGAAGGAAAGAAAAGAGAAGAAGAAAAAAGAAGAAAGGAAGAAAAAAAAAGAAAAAGAGAAAGAAAGAGAAAGGAAAAAAGGGUCGGGGAAGCAAACAGAAAAAAAAAAAAAAAACACGGGGGAGUGUCUUCUGAUUCUGUGUACUUUAAGUCCCUUGACUUCCCCUGGAACUUGUCCGUCUAGCUGGUCUUCUGGGGGAGGGGCCUGUUGUGCUGAUUUUCAGGUGUUAGCACUUGGGGGAGCUGCUCUGCCCCUGCCUGGUGCAGGGCUCAGUGGGGGUUGUUUACCCCGUGAGGCCCCAGGAGGAACAACCCCAGUGGCGGGGCAGCUCUGCAGCCCUGGAUUCAGCUCCAGCAGUAACUCCAGAGCUCUCGGUCUGCAGGGCCUGGAGGCUCCGGGGCGGGCCGCUGAUCUGCUCAGCUGGGGCAGGAGCGUCCUCGCUGUCCUGGGCCCUCCCGGCCUCUGCCUGUCCUGGGGGGAGGCUGGAUCCUGGGCUGUGUCCCGGCGCCCUGUGCUCCGGGGCCUGCGCUGUUGGAUUCAUGCUCCCGCCCCACAGCCCCCUCCGCGGAGCCGCCCCCGAGCCCCCCGAGCUGCUCCGGGUCCCGCCGUGCGCGCUGCAGCCCUUAGGGAGCUCGUUGCACUCUCCCGGGGCGCAGGUGUCUGUCAGUGUCCCCGGGAACCCGAGCGCAUCCCCGCCCUCCUGGGUCCUGCUCCAACUCUUUGCGAGCCCCUUUCCCCCGGGAAGGUUGGUGCAGCUCCUGCGUCUCCAGGUCGGGGCUCUCCUGUCCUGGGGACACUCGCCCCGGCCUCGGCCCGGCUCCUCGCGGGCCCCUCCCCCUUGGAGGCCUUUGGUUUCUUUAAUUCUACACCCCCCCCCCCUGCCCCGUCUUCCUACCUGAUAGAAGCGCGAGUUCUCACUGCAGCAUUCCAGCUGUUUUCUCUUUAA
rnacentral:lncRNA from 1 species